rnacentral:rRNA from 1 species
UACGUAGGGUGCAAGCGUUAAUCGGAAUUACUGGGCGUAAAGCGUGCGCAGGCGGUUUUGUAAGUCUGUCGUGAAAGCCCCGGGCUCAACCUGGGAAUUGCGAUGGAGACUGCAAGGCUUGAAUCUGGCAGAGGGGGGUAGAAUUCCACGUGUAGCAGUGAAAUGCGUAGAGAUGUGGAGGAACACCGAUGGCGAAGGCAGCCCCCUGGGUCAAGAUUGACGCUCAUGCACGAAAGCGUGGGGAGCAAA